CCUACGGGAGGCAGCAGUGAGGAAUAUUGGUCAAUGGCCGGAAGGCUGAACCAGCCAUGCCGCGUGAAGGUCAGUGCCCUAUGGGCGUUAAACUUCUUUUGUGCGUGAGCAAUAAUGGUCACGUGUGGCCAGACGAGAGUACCGUACGAAUAAGCAUCGGCUAACUCCGUGCCAGCAGCCGCGGGAAUACGGGGGAUGCAAGCGUUAUCCGGAUUGAUUGGGUUUAAAGAGUGCGUAGGCUGUGAGGUAAGUCAGCGGUGCAAUGCCCACGCUCAACGGGGUGAAGUGCCAUUGAUACUGCAUUGCUGGAAUGCGGAUGCCGUGGGAGGAAUGUGUGGUGUAGCGGUGAAAUGCAUAGAUAUCACACAGAACACCGAUUGCGAAGGCAUCUCACGAAUCCGCGAUUGACGCUGAUGCACGAAAGCGUGGGUAUCAAACAGGAUUAGAUACCCUUGUAGUC
rnacentral:rRNA from 1 species